AUUUGCCAUCGAUGUUUACUUCGGCAACUUGGGCCUGGCUAACUAGCCUCCUCAAGAAUACUAUCGACUCAUGAGCCGAGUUAAAGGUCCAGUU
rnacentral:snoRNA from 3 species